rnacentral:rRNA from 1 species
AUUGAACGCUGGCGGCAUGCUUUACACAUGCAAGUCGAACGGCAGCACAGGGAGCUUGCUCCUGGGUGGCGAGUGGCGAACGGGUGAGUAAUGUAUCGGAACGUGCCUGGUAGUGGGGGAUAACUACUCGAAAGAGUGGCUAAUACCGCAUGAGAUCUUUGGAUGAAAGCGGGGGACCUUCGGGCCUUGUGCUACUGGAGCGGCCGAUAUCAGAUUAGGUUGUUGGUGGGGUAAAGGCCUACCAAGCCUGCGUUCUGUAGCUGGUCUGAGAGGACGACCAGCCACACUGGGACUGAGACACGGCCCAGACUCCUACGGGAGGCAGCAGUGGGGAAUUUUGGACAAUGGGCGCAAGCCUGAUCCAGCAAUGCCGCGUGCAGGACGAAGGCCUUCGGGUUGUAAACUGCUUUUGUACAGAACGAAAAGUCUCUGGCUAAUAUCUAGAGAUCAUGACGGUACUGUAAGAAUAAGCACCGGCUAACUACGUG